rnacentral:misc_RNA from 1 species
UUGAGAAGCGACGGGACAGGUACCUCCCUUUCACACUUAGGGUGCUCUCUGACUCUGAUGCGUUUGCAGAAAUUCAAACAGAAAAUUUAUGAUGAAUGGAUUUCAUUACAGAUUGGGAAUAAUUGCGAGAGUCCACCUCCUUGGACAGAUCUUAAAAAGCUUUAGUCUUAUGAAAUGUGGAGUUAUGCCAGAGAAAGAGAUUAUAGACAUGAAGCUAUGUAGUUCAUUCCUACUUUCAAAAGCAUUCAACAAAACUUUAUGCAGACAGGAACUUUUAGAACUUAACUUUAGACUAGUGAAUGCAAUCUGGGAACUAAAUGCUGAAUGAUGCCAUCAUUAACGAAAUCAGAAACGAUUCUGUUGACCAAGAUACUCUGCACUCAUUAUAAAUUUGAUUUUGCAUCUCAUUUGAUAAAUGAAAAUCCAAGUUUCCAAGCAUGAUGUCCAUGAAAAUUACUAAUAUCGUGAUUUGUGUUAUCAUGCAUCAAUAUAAUUCAUAAUCACAUUAUGUCGGCUGCUGUUAUUUACUUUAGUUUCCCUUUGCAGACUCUGCAGCAAAAGCCCAUA